CUGAAUUUUCGAGGUCAGCCCAGACAUUGUGAGGCAUUUGUCAGAGGCCGCAGGAUUUGGGAAGAGGCGUCCGGAGAUAGGAAUGGGCGGCACCUCGGGAUGGAAUGACUCCCAUUGCUUCUCCCUCCUUGUCCAGGCAUCAGAGGCAACCCCGCGGCUCCCGCCAACGGUCGGGGCCCCUCGGGGACCAGCCCUUCCCGGGGCUGCUGCCAAAAAACCUCAGUCGGGAGGAGUUGGUUGAUGCGCUGCGGGCAGCCGUGGUGGACCGGAAAGGACCUCUAGUGACGUUGAACAAGCCACAGGGUCUACCGGUGACAGGAAAACCAGGAGAGCUGACGUUGUUCUCAGUGCUGCCAGAGCUGAGCCAGUCCCUAGGGCUCAGGGAGCAGGAGCUUCAGGUUGUCCGAGCAUCUGGGAAGUAAGUAGUAGGGGUGACAGGAAGCUAGGAGUACAGGCAUCCAUCUGUGGUGGGGAAACAGCUGCUUGGGGAUAAGCUGAGACAUUUUCCAUGGGAAGGUUUGAGAUCAUAGAGGUGGAUACAAGUACU
rnacentral:sRNA from 1 species